CGAGACCUCAGGUCAGGCGGGGCUACCCGCUCGAGUUUAAGCAUAUCAUU
rnacentral:rRNA from 6 species